rnacentral:rRNA from 1 species
UCAGUAGCGGCGAGUGAAGCGGCAAAAGCUCAAAUUUGAAAUCUGGCGUCUUUGGCGUCCGAGUUGUAAUUUGAAGAAGGUAUCUUUGGGCCCGGCUCUUGUCUAUGUUCCUUGGAACAGGACGUCACAGAGGGUGAGAAUCCCGUGCGAUGAGAUGACCCGGGUCUGUGUAAAGUUCCUUCGACGAGUCGAGUUGUUUGGGAAUGCAGCUCUAAGUGGGUGGUAAAUUCCAUCUAAAGCUAAAUAUUGGCGAGAGACCGAUAGCGAACAAGUACAGUGAUGGAAAGAUGAAAAGAACUUUGAAAAGAGAGUGAAAAAGUACGUGAAAUUGUUGAAAGGGAAGGGCUUGAGAUCAGACUUGGUAUUUUGCAUGUUGCUCUCUCGGGGGCGGCCGCUGCGGUUUACCGGGCCAGCAUCGGUUUGGAGCGGCAGGAUAAUGGCGGAGGAAUGUGGCACGGCUUCUGCUGUGUGUUAUAGCCUCUGACGAUACUGCCAGCCUAGACCGAGGACUGCGGUUUUUACCUAGGAUGUUGGCAUAAUGAUCUUAAGUCGCCCGUCUU